AGUUAGAACCAGUGUGCCAGAUGAAUAUCAUCCGGCUCGAUGGAAACUAGUGUCGU
rnacentral:sRNA from 1 species